UAUAUAGUCCGGGACAUUUCUAUAUGAGAUACGUCAUACCGCAUACCUUGACGCGAGACUAUAUAGAGCACAAAAACUAGAUAAGAGCUCAAAUUUAGGGAACUUGGUUGUUUGAUGUGUUUGACAGAUGACAAAUGUAAACAAUAAUAAAAAUUUAAAUAUUUCUUUAUUGUAGUAAAGUACAGCAAAAUGUACCAACUAGAACACUUAAAAACAAAUGGAGAAACUUUCAAAUGCUUUGAAGUACCGUUGCUGGAGUACUGUUGAGGUUAUGUUUGACCUUGGUAUGACUGUCAGGGUAGUCAUCGUCAUGUUCCAAUUGCAUGCCCCCUCUCUGCCACAUCAGUAAAAUUUGCCACAAAAGUUUUAAAAAACGACUUUAAACAACAAAAAAGGCCCUAUUUUCAUUAACAAUGAGACAUAUCUCGCUGCAUGCGGCACGACAUAGGCCUCAUAGACCAAUCUCAUUGUGAAUGGUUUUCGCUGAGAUCACUUUGAGAGGGUUUCACUGAGACUGACGUUGGCGGAAGGCUGAAACCUGCCUCGCGACAAGCCUUUGCCCCAACAUUCGAAGCUGUCAAUGGCUUAAAAUGAUGAAACUGUGUCAGUUUUUUUGUGUCUUUUGGGAUUAGUCUUUGAGUCCUGUCGCGCCGCAUGUAGCAAAGCAGAUCUCAUUGUGAAUGGGUUCUUUAAGAAACAGUUUCAAUGUACACCACAAGACAUACACUGAGACGGCCUCAUGCCUCAUAUCAUGAGUUGUAAUUGACAGCAUUUUAUAAAAUGAUUUGGAAUCAUAAUGCAGAGAUUGUUGCGAGACAGGCAGGCAGGUCUCAAGCCUACUGCAGAAGUCGCUCUCAGUGAGUCCAUGUCUUAGAGAUGCAAGACCAAUUUAGACCAUUUACAGUGAGAUUGGUGCCCGAGACCUAUGUCAUGCAGGAAGCCAAACUUCAUCGUGAAUGGACCCUUUUCAAUGGGGCUGUGCUUUUUGAAUAAAUUUGAAAUGGCCUUUUUGAAAAAAGCAGUUGUCUCUCUUUUAUUCAUCUAUUCAACACGUUUGUAUUCGAUGCACUUACACCAAUUUCAUUAUCAGUGUCUUGAUUAUCAGGCAAGGGCAAAGUGGAAUUGGGGGCAACACAGAAAUAAAAACACUUUAAUUUCCUUUAUUAGUAGGCUAUAUUUUUUAUAAAAGACGACUACUCCCAGAUAGAGACGUACAAAAAUGUAAACAAGAGUAAAAGUUGGUUUUUCGCAAUAUUUCACACUAUUCUUCCACACGUCCACAGUAAAAUCAGAAAGCGCUUGUUGUUAUAAAGCCCUUAUUAUGUUUUUCGACGAUGGCUGAGACUUUGUGACGUAUUUGUUAAACGUAAGUUUUCAAAUACCCCAUGCCAGUGCAACGGAGUUAUAUUAACAAUUUUAUGGGAUUAUUUUUAACUGUACACCCAUUCUGCUUGAAACAAGAGUCGCUACCAGGAAAUAACAACGAAAAAAGUGGACCCAAAAGGCUUCAGCUGCAAAUUAUAAACACUAUCUGUGAUUUUUUUAAUAAUUAAUUAAUAAAUGUCGUGAACUUACUUUGAAGUAAACAGUGAGCUCCAUCUAUAACUCAUAAUUACUUGAACCGCAAUUCCCAUCAUCAAAAUGUGCAAAACUGCGAUAAGUGAGGUUAUGCAGGUAUGCACUUUGUUUUCCAGUUUUUCACACAAAAUAUAUCACAAAUUGCGCAAAUCAUACAACCAGCGACAGUCAGUACUGUCAGUACGUCGCAGCAGCUUUCUCCAGCACAAUCACUGACUGCAAUUCUGUGUUGUGCCAUUCCCGUCUCAUCAUAUAAUCUAUAAUUGUUAUAUGACAAGUAAUGUUUCUACCUUCAAAAAUACUUGCGUAAAUAUUUUAUUAUCCCGUUAGUACACACUUUUAAAGCAGCCACUGGUUAUAUAGAUUAAAAUUAUAACAUUUCCUUUGUUAUUGUGUUAUUGUUUACAUCAGUCAGCUGUUUACUGUCAUUUUCUAAUGCUACCAAUUUAAAAAAUGUCCCUGUUAUUAAAGCUAAAGGACCAUAGAAUGAGAGAGAGAACAUUUUUUGUUCACAUAGACGCUGAAUAUACGUAUAAAUGUCAGAAAAUUCAAAUUUUUUAUGUCCAAAUAGAAAUGUCCCGGACUGUAAUUGAAUGGUAAAUGAUGCAAAAAGUACUCGAGUCGCGGUGUUCUCCCCUUGCACUCAUCAAUCUGUCGCAAAACGCUGGUUAAAUAAAGUUUAAAGACUUCAAAGAAUCAACAUUACAUUCAUUACUGCGCCAAAGCCGGAAGUAAUGAAUAUAAUUGCGAGCGGAAAAAAGUAUCUCACAAAGCAAACGCAAAACUGAAGGGUGUUCUUAGAGAACGAAUUACGGCAGACAAUGAUGACUGGAAAGCGUUUAGUUUUUCUCUUUAAAUUAAAAAUCGUGCGUUUCUUUGCCAUCUGUAUUUUAGAUUUUCGCUCGACUACUCCGCAAAAAGGUCACGUUGCGAACUUCCAAGUCCCACGUUUCUUGGCGUAUGCAUCGAGAAGAUUAAUUGACGUCAACUUUCGAUUACCGGAAAGAGGGAUACAAUAUCUCCCCGUGUUGGAGAGACAAUAAGAGAAAUGGAACGGCAAAGUGUUGAAAACAUCGGAUGUAAUCCAGAGGUUCAUUUUAAUUUAAUUCCAUUAUGCCUUGAAGAGUGAGAAAUAUAAAGGCUAAUAACAAACAGAA